CCUUAGUUGUUAAAGGCAAAAUGGCAGCGUCCAUACCAAGUAUUGUAAGGAUUUUAUGCCGUGUGUCCGCUUUACUUCACAGAAUAUUCUGCAUAAUCUGGUGUGCAGUCCAGCCUGUCUGUGCACUGCAGCCUGAUACCCCCAGUGAUGCAGUGGAGGCUCUUGCCACCGACAGCAAAGAGUACAUAGAGCGCUAUGGACAAGUCCAGUGUGGUCUGACUACAGGAGGAACCACAAAGGAGGGAUCCCCCCUUCAGAAGACACACACAACCUACAUUAGAUGAGACAAGAUAUUUGGGAACCCCCAUCCAAUUUGUCGAAACCCCAAAGUCAUCAUCCACUAUCAGAAGUUACCUGUCAGGCAUUGGACCCAUGCUGUGUUUCCAAGUGUGAAGUCCAGCCUCUCUCUGUGCACUGCAGCCUAACCUGAAAUCUCCAGUGAUGCUGCUGUGGCAGUGGAGACUAACUGUUACAAGGACAGACCAUGGGGCUACCUUGAGAGCGAAGAGUACAUAGAGCACUAUGGAACCAGUCCAGUGUAGUCUAACUACAGGAGGAACCAGAAAGGAGGGAUUCCCCCUCAGAAGACACGCAAUACCUGCAUUGUAGGUGUAACAGCGGUGGUUCUGUAACCUUGCCUGAGACUUGUGGCAGCUCUCCAAGCUAUUGUCUAGGCUUUUUUGGAGAGUGCACAGAUAUUCAGAGGUCUACCAUGAUGCUGUCUGCUCUGUGUUAGGCUAUGUAACUCCAUAUUAUUAUUAUAUUCUCCACCAGACAGUCACACGAGUUCGUACUGUUAGGUGACCUAAACUGGGAUAUGCUUAACACUCCGGCCGUCCUACAAUCUAAGCUUGAUGCCCUCAAUCUCAU